UUUCCGCAUGAACAUUUACACUGAACGAAACUGCAGUCUAUCAGCAAAAUGAUGUAUCAUUUUCUAAUUCUGUACGUUGGUCGAAAGCAAUUGGAAAAAAAUAUGGGCGGAUAUUCGUUGAGUACGAACAGGUUUCUUGCGAUUCAUGGUGAACCCAUAAAUCUUGAUCUGGGGACACCAGCUGGCUGUCAAAUGAAAAGAAGGCCAAUAUGUCGCCGCGUGCGUGUUGCUCGUGUAGCUUCCCGUUGUAUAUGAAGUAAAUAAACGGCCAAACAAUGUCGGAGGCAUCUUGCUCGGCUGCUGAAGAAAAUGGGAUAAAGGAAACUAGACAAGAAUCAAAACCGGCCAAGAAGAAAUGGGAAAGAUUCAGCAGCUGGGUGCAUUGCAUAUGCGUUGUCACAUUUGAUCUUGAACUCGGCCAAGCUAUUGAGCUAGUUUAUCCAAGUCAUGUUAAACUGACGGAGCAAGAGAGGUCCAAUGUUUGUUAUUUGGCUUUUCCUGACUCUAAUUCUGGAUGCAUGGGCGACACUCAAUACCAUGUUCGGAUUAGGCAAAAUUCUAAAAAUUGUCAAAAUACUCGGUCACUGAAAGAGUACGACAGAAAAUGUCCAGUCUUUGUACAAUCGGAUAGAGAAUAUUACUGGGGUUAUGUAUACUUCCGACAAGUCAAAGACAAGGCAUUACCCCGAGGCUAUUUUCAAAAGAGUGUUGUAAUAAUAACAAAACUUCCGUUAGUAAAUUUAUUCACUGAAAUCUGUGCGUUGAUUGCACCAGAAUUUUUUGACGCUGGUGCAGUUGCCCUGGAAGCUGCUAGUGGAGACAUCGAUCGAUGGCCUCUGCCGGUUCCAGGACAAAUACUCCAUCUUACACUCAUGGGUGUUCUCUUCCAGACAUACAUUCCAAACCAAAACUACAAGGCAACCAUACCGACCGUAGCUGCUCUGGAUCAUGUUCCGAAUAAACAUUCAUUGCGUAAAAUUGUCCUGACUUCUGCCUAUGAAGGAGACAUGUUUAGAAGUUUAGCUAGCGUCGUAAGCCACGUGCAUUUGUUAUGGGAACUAGUGUUGCUUGCCGAACCUAUUGUGGUUAUGGCUAGUUCUCCAACAAUUUGUGCAGAAAUGGUGCAAGCUCUGACAGCGACGAUAGCACCGCUCAAAUACUGUGCCGAUCAUCGUCCUUACUUUACUAUACAUGAUUCAGAAUUUAAGGAAUAUACUGCAGACGCUCCAUCACCACCGGCGGUAAUUUUAGGUGUAACAAAUCCAUUUUUUGCUAAAACUCUCCAACACUGGCCUCAUAUCAUUAGAAUAACGAACGGUUCGAGCUUAGGUGAGUGCACCUAUGAAACAAGAUGUAAAUACCUCAGCAUUAUUCAUUUAUUGUCUUUUAUUUUUUAUGGUUUCUCCCCUGCAGAAAAUCAAAAGUAUAGAAUUAAAAAGGCAGAAAAUUUAAAAGUGUUGGAUUCAAAGCCUGGCGUCUAUACUCAAUAUAAACCGUUCUUACAAAAAGAUAAAGCUAUUUUAAAAAAGCUUCUCAGAGGCAUUCAAACCAAAAGACCUGGCGAAGUACAAACGGCUAUGCUGAGAAGGCACCUCUUGGAAUUAACAGAGAGUUUUAUGAUCCCCCUAGAAAGAUACAUAGCCAGUCUUAUGCCUCUACAAAAAAAUAUAUCACCUUUUAAGGCUACGCCAAUACCUCAACUCUUCAAUCCAGAUGACUUUUUGGCUACACUGAGUAAUGCCGGCCCCCAAUUAACUAUAGGAAUCAAAGGGGAUUGGGUUGGAUUGUACCGACGGUUUUUCAGGUCGCCUAAUUUCUCCGGCUGGUUUCAUACCAGGUACAUGGAAUUGACGCAAAAACUCCAAGCUCUACAAUUAGAAGCGUUAUCGCAGGCUGAUUUAAAAACGUGGGUUCAAGGUAAACAAGAGGUUGAAGUUGUAGACAUGAUCCUGAGGAUCCGACAAAAAUUAGAUAAAAGUUCUGAAGACGACCUACCGAUCAGCACAUCGAUUCAGGAAGAGCUAAGUGAGAGGAUAAACGAUAUUAUUUAUACACUGCCCGAUGAUUUACAAAUCAUACUAAGUGUUAAGUCCUGACAAUUUGAUCUGAUCGUUAACGCGAUGAUAAUUUAGGCUCUUCAAAAUAAUUCUCAUCAGUUUACGAUCGAUAGACUUUCAUCGAUAUAUGUUUAUUUUAUUAAUAAUUUCACGUUGAAUAUUAUCAGAUACACAAUUCGUCGAACUAGAAAUUCUGCUCAAGCCAACCAAAGGCACGUAAUAUGAAUUCAGAAUUGUUGUGGCCUAAUACGUAUGUAUAAAAAUACGUCAACUUUUCUUCCUACUGCCAAAUAUCUAUUUUGCCUUAAAAUAGUCAAUUUUUUUUUUUUAAUUCUUUAAUAGCGAACUAUAUCUGCGAUUCUUUAGGUCACAAUGAAAUAUGGAAAAAAAAUCUAGGUAGACGAUAUUUUUCAGUCAUAACUGGAUGGAUACGUAUAAAAAAAAUUAACAGUGCCCGCAGUUGACGGUUUGAACAAUAGCAGUGAGAUUAUUUUUCAUCGACGAAUUUAUCGAGAGUUAAUUCACUGGUUAACUGAUUCAUUAUGUGCCUCCCGCCUUAAAAUCUCCAUUCACAUUGCAUGGGAAAUUCUUCACUCAGUCCAUCC